rnacentral:rRNA from 1 species
CCUACGGGAGGCAGCAGUGAGGAAUAUUGGUCAAUGGACGAGAGUCUGAACCAGCCAAGUAGCGUGAAGGAUGACUGCCCUAUGGGUUGUAAACUUCUUUUAUAUGGGAAUAAAAUGUUCCACGUGUGGGAUUUUGUAUGUACCAUAUGAAUAAGGAUCGGCUAACUCCGUGCCAGCAGCCGCGGUAAUACGGAGGAUCCGAGCGUUAUCCGGAUUUAUUGGGUUUAAAGGGAGCGUAGAUGGAUUGUUAAGUCAGUUGUGAAAGUUUGCGGCUCAACCGUAAAAUUGCAGUUGAUACUGGCAGUCUUGAGUACAGUAGAGGUAGGCGGAAUUCGUGGUGUAGCGGUGAAAUGCUUAGAUAUCACGAAGAACUCCGAUUGCGAAGGCAGUUCACUGAACUGCAACUGACACUGAGGCUCGAAAGUGUGGGUAUCAAACAGGAUUAGAUACCCUAGUAGUC